rnacentral:rRNA from 1 species
AGGAUCAUUAUUGAAUUGUAGGAAGACCGAGAGUGGAACGGAUUGUUGCUGGCCCUUUGGGCAUUUGUGCACAUCCUACUACACUUUCUGUCGACCUUUUUAACCCAACACACCUGUGCACACGUUGUAGAUCCUCGAAAGAGGCUCUAUGUUUUUAUAUAUACCACAUCUGUCGUAUGGCUACAGAAUGUUAUUAAACGAUCCGUCGAUCAGGCUGGCCCUGGUUGCUCGGUCGGAUUAAAUGAAAUAAAUACAACUUUCAGCAACGGAUCUCUUGGCUCUCGCAUCGAUGAAGAACGCAGCGAAUUGCGAUAAGUAAUGUGAAUUGCAGAUUUCCAGUGAAUCAUCGAAUCUUUGAACGCACCUUGCGCUCCUUGGUAUUCCGAGGAGCAUGCCUGUUUGAGUGUCAUUUAAUUCUCAACCAUGUCUUUAGUUAGACAUGGCUUGGAGUUGGGGGUUGCUGGCGGCCGGAAUGGCUAUCAGCUCCCCUGAAAUGCAUUAGCGAUGGGUUGUCUGGUCUUUGAGACGUGCACGGCCUUCGACGUGAUAAUGAUCGUCGUGGCUGGAGCGUCUUUAGACCAUACAUGAAUAGCCCAAGCUUCUAAUAAAGCCAACAAAGUCGGAUUGGAUCGGUUGGAUUUGGAAUCAUGAGGCUUUAGUUACUAGUCAGUCGUGAGGCUGACGAACACAAAGCAAUCAGCAUCCGGACUUAGUUUUGGAAGGGAGAACGCACUGAGCUUUAGUUACUAGUUAGUCCGUGAGGCUGACGAACGCAAAGCAAAGGGUUAAUAUUCUUUCCAGACUUGGUUUCGCAAGGGAGAACGCACUGAGCUUUAGCUACUAGUUAGUCUGUGAGGCUGACGAACACAAAGCAAAGGGGUUAGUAUUUCUUUCCGGACUAGGAUUCCAUUCUGUUCUGUUCCUUUACGGUUUUCAAAGACUUGACCUCAAAUCAGGUAGGAUUACCCGCUGAACUUAAGCAUAUCAAUAAGCGGAGGAAAAGAAACUAACAAGGAUUCCCCUAGUAACUGCGAGUGAAGCGGGAUGAGCUCAAAUUUUGAAUCUGGCAGUCAUUUCUGGCUGUCCGAGUUGUAAUCUAGAGAAGCGUUUUCCGCGUUGGACCGUGUACAAGUCUCCUGGAAGGGAGCGUCAUAGAGGGUGAGAAUCCCGUCUUUGACACGGACUACCAAGGCUAUGUGAUGCGCUCUCGACGAGUCGAGUUGUUUGGGAAUGCAGCUCAAAAUGGGUGGUAAACUCCAUCUAAAGCUAAAUACAGGCGAGAGACCGAUAGCGAACAAGUACCGUGAGGGAAAGAUGAAAAGAACUUUGGAAAGAGAGUUAAACAGUACGUGAAAUUGCUGAAAGGGAAACGCUUGAUGUCAGUCGCGUGGGCUAGGGAUCAACCUUGCUUGAUUGCUAGGUGCAAUUCCUGGUCUACGGGUCAGCAUCAGUUUUCGUUGCUGUAGAAUGGCAGAGGGAAUGUGGCACUCUUUUGGGAGUGUGUUAUAGACUUUUGUCGUAUGCAGCGGUGGGAACUGAGGAACUCGGCACGGA